ensembl:lncRNA
UAGGAGUGAAAGCAGAGUAAAGGCAGUACUGAAACCCUGCCUUCAUUCGGUGUCUUAGGGACACAUUUGAGUCUCAAAUGAAGACUUACACAGCUCCCUCACUAGUUGCCCUGUUUCUCAUCUGUUCUUUCUUGCUGACUCCCGUAGGAAAGCAAGAGCUUAUGAUUCACUGAUGGGUGACUUUGUUGUGUCAAUAGUUACAUGAAAGCCAGUGCAGCAAGUUGUAGAUCCAUUGAAGUUUGCCAUAAAAAGGCAUUAAGAUGUGCCUCCAGGACAGUGAUAUGCUGAGGAAUUUUAUAGGGCAAUGGUGUCUGCUUUGAUUUGGUAAUAUGGUAUCAAUAAUGGAGAUAGGUGUUAAAAGACUGGCCAUUCCAUGAAGAGACAUUCUCUUCAGGACAGCAAAUCUCUUUUCACUGACGUGUUUGUUAGCACAAGUCAAUGAGGGUGUAAAUUUGAUCCCCUGUCUUUCUUAGCCUCUGCUGCUCUUAGGUCUGUUGAGGUAGAGGUCUUUUCUCAUGAACCCCAACUCCGGGAAGUGGAUGACAGCUGUAACUUCCAGGAGCACCCUUUGCAUCCUGGCCAUCCUGAGUAGAUAGAGCCUAUAUGCAGCUUUUAAGAAAGGGGAACAGAACCCCCCUGAAAAGACUUUUUCCCUGAGCAAGGACCGAAAGCAGCUGCAAGCAGGAAGCAUAGGGGAUCCCUAGAAUUAGACUGUGAGUUGAGGGGAGUAUUAUUUAAAAGUGUGUAGCUGCCUGGUAUCCCAACCUCUCCUUUUUCUUCCUCAUACUUCACUCAUCAGGUUUGGUGUCUCCUCUUUUCACAGGAAAGUAAAUAUCUCUUCAGCCUCUCAAGGCUGCUGCUGCUGGCUUCAUACAGACCCGUUGGAUGGUGGUGCUCGCAGUUCCUGCCCGACUGUCCAGACUGAUAAGAUCUCUUCAUUGUGUGCACUCAGGUGUCAGCCAGUGCCAUACUGACUGGUGUAUGGCUGAAACUGCAAGACAAAACCAUUGUCAAGCUGAAGACUUCUUCAAGCUGCAGUAGAUUGUGACCCUGCUACUGACUUUCUGCGUAUGACUUGAUUCUGUCAGCUGCUGAUCUGUGGACAGUCAUGAUAACUGCAUGGGCAGUUGAUGGACAGCUGGAAGAGACAGCAAAGCAAAGGUAUAAGUAGCUUCUGCUUCUCUCCAGGGGUCUGGCAGUUAGAAAGUGCUACUCUGUAGUCUAACUUGUUCAAUAUAGGAUAUAUCACCUGCCAAACGCUUGUUAAUCAAACUGAAAGCUUCAUGUUUAAACUAGGCAAGAGGUAUCUUUGAAGAAGAGAUCUGAGAUUCAUUUAAAAUAGCAAGUGGUAUCAGUCUGUUGUGUCACUUGAUGGGGUAUUUGACUGCUUCAGAACUCACUCUGGAAAAGGUCCAGUUUGAGUCCCAGUCCCAAAAAUUCCUUUGGAUUUGAAUUUGCCUAGCUGAGCUGAUAUAUAAAGGGUAUGAAAGGGAAGAAAUGAUGGGGACAGAAGCAGAAGUCAGGAAAUAAUUAGAUUAUGUGGUAUUUUACUUCAGCUUGACAAAACCCCAGUCUUUGCUUCAUUCAUUCCUAAAGAAUGACUACCUGUUUCUGAAACCACAGGAAAAGAGACCUUUUAAUGCUUUCUUGUAAGACAUAAGAAAUAAAGAUACUUUAUCACAGGAUUUUAUGAAAUGUUGCUAUAUUAUUUGAAAUUAAUAUAUACAGUAUAUACAGUUCUAUAACAGCUAUGUAUGAAUGAAUAUAUGCAGUGUCUUACAGACCAACACUGUAGAAAUAAUUGUCCUUUCCAUUUAA